rnacentral:tRNA from 2 species
GGGGCCGUAGUUCAGCUUGGAAGAAUGCCAGCCUGGGGCGUUGGUGGUCCCGGGUUCAAAUCCCGGCGGCCCCA